UAAUGUCCUAUACUCCUCUGCCUCCCAUCUUCCAUUGCCACCGCUCCUCGCACAAGAUGACGAAAUGGAGUCAAAUGCAGUAGAACAAAUAUUGCCUCCAAAUGGGUCAAUGGUAAACCCAAGAAACCAAUAAUAUAUUUUCACUCGGAUUCUUCUCUCUUUUUUAUUCUAUACUACAGUAUUUGGUUUAGUGGUUUAGAUCUGUUUGAUUUAGGAGCUUUUGCAAUCAGAGGAGGAGGAUUUUGCAUCAUUAGUGGCCAAUGUGCUAUGUGAUUCUUCGUGGUCCUGGAUACAAACGGAAAAACU
rnacentral:lncRNA from 1 species